UUACUCCUACCCAAAAAAAAAAAUAAUAAAGUUACAAGAAUCAAUAAGUUCUAGCAUGUUCAUGCAUUAAAUUUGUGCCAUGACGUAUCCAAAACUGUAUUCUCAAAGGAUUAAUUAAAUUUAUCACAUUGACACAUUUAAUGAGUUUGGAUGUUGCAUUACAGAAGCCUAGUUCCGCAUCACUGUCUCUAUGUUACUGAAUGGCCC
rnacentral:lncRNA from 1 species